CGCGCGGUAAACGAUGGAUGCCCGCUGUUGGGCCAACUGGUUCAGCGGCCAAGCGAAAGCAUUAAGCAUCCCACCUGGGGAGUACGCCGGCAACGGUGAAACUCAAAGGAAUUGACGGGGGCCCGCACAAGCGGAGGAACAUGUGGUUUAAUUCGAUGAUACGCGAGGAACCUUACCCGGGCUUGAAUUGCAGAGGAAGGAUUUGGAGACAAUGACGCCCUUCGGGGCCUCUGUGAAGGUGC
rnacentral:rRNA from 1 species